AAGACGAAAACAGGUGAGGGAGCAAGCAAUGUAUAUGUUCGCUUAUAUUUGCAUUUGUGUAUGUAUGCAUAUAUAUAUAUAUACAUAUAUACACACACACACACACAGUGUGGGUGAAAAGUAAGUAGGCAUUAAAAAUUGGUAAUUAUAUCCAUAUUCCUUUUCCAAAUUUAUUGAAACAAAUGAUACAUGUUCUUUAUUACAUGGGAAAAUGAAAGUAAAUCUUCAUAUUUCAACAUAAGCACCUCAAAUGGCCCCAGGGAUAGAAUGAACGACCUUCUGAAGGACAUCAUCUGGGAUAUCAUUGAGAACCUCCUGAAUCCGUGUCUCCAAGUCCUCAAGUGUGUGAGGUUUUGUCUUGUACACCUCUUUUGUGUAACCCCACAGGUAAAAAUCACAUGGAGUGAGAUCGGGACUUCUGAGGUCACAGUCUUCACAGCCUGCAUGCAAUGGACUUUCCAUGGACAAAGAUUCAAUUCUUUAUGCAACACCAUAUGUAUUGUAUGUCUUGUUAGUCCCCUUCCACGAGCUGCUUGACAUGUUGAUUUUUGCAGGAUGUCAUUAAACAUUUCCUGCACUGUUGCCACGUUCUCCGCUGAUUGGGAUGUAGUUGGACGGCCACUUCUUCUUGCAUCGUUCAAACACCCUGUGGUCAUCAGCUUUGCUUAACAGUUUUUUAUCGUCCCCAGACAUAGUGUUGCAUGUUUACCUUUCCAUGCAUGCCACCAUCUUUGAACCGAAACAAUGAAAUUCUACACUUCAUAAUGUGCUGCUAUCUUAGCUCACUCCUGAACGGUCAAGCAACUGACCAUCUGGAAAAUAAGACAAGAAGAUAAGAAAUCCCCAUUAGUGUUGCCUGUUUAGAAAAUGUUAUCGUCAUGACUUCAGUGAUACUAAAAAUUCUACAAGCAAUUUCUAAUGCCUAGUUACUUUCCAUACACCCUCUGUGUGUGUGUGUGUAGUGGGUGUGUAAGUAAGAAUUUAGAAACUUUGAGAGAACAUGAAAUAAUUCGUUUGUAACUGCAGAACUCAAAGUUGAAAAGCCCCUUGGAUAGAAAACAGCAGUUGAAGGCUGCCCAUGGUGCUUGAAACUGCAUAUGCUGUAUACUUCUUUAUAGAAGUUGUGGUCAGCCCUUGAUUUAUCUUUGCACUUUGAGUUCAAAAUUCACUGUGGUUGAUUUUGCCAUUGUUUCUCUCGGGGUCAAUAAAAUAAGUAUCAGUUGAUUACUGGGGUCGAUGUAAUCAACUUUCCCAUUCCCUCAAAAGCUGCUGGUCCUGUCCCAAAAAUUGAAACCAUUAUUAUUAUUAUUAUUAAGGUGGUAAGCUAGCAGAAUACAUUAGUGCCCCGGGUGAAAUGCAUAGCAGUAUUUUGUCUGCUGCUACGUUCUGAGUUCAAAUUCCGUUGAGGUCAGCUUUGCCUUUCAUCCUUUCAGGGUCGUUUAAAUAAGUAUUAGUUACACACUGGGGUCAAUGAAAUCAAUUUCAGGCCUUGCGCCUAUAGUAGAAAGGAUUAUCAUUAUUAUUUAUACCCUAAAAAUCUUCAAGUUCUCCAGCUGAAAACCAAUUACAUGUGUGCCUACGUGUAUGUAUAUAUAAUGUAUGUAUAUGUGUGUUUACAUAAGUAUGAGCUUGUAUAUGUAUGUUUACAUAUGUAUGUGUAUAUAUAAAUAUAUAUAUAUAUGUAUAUAUAUAUAUAUAUAUAUAUAUAUGUAUGUAUAGUUAUGUUUACACACUCGCGUAUGUUGUAUUCAUGGUAUGUGACUUUUACAAGUAUACACAUUGAGCCCUGUAUGUCUAUAUAUAUAUAUGUCUAUAUAUAUAUAUAUAUAUAUAUGCCAUGUUGAACCACUGAACCCUGUUAGGGCUCAGUGAUUCACUUCUCCCUGCAUUUAUUUCCUCUUGUUCCUUUCUGUCAAAGAGCAUAGGCUCGAAACAUAAAAGACUUUGCCAUUUUCCUUGGGUGUCAAACUAAUACACUUGCUUGUUGUUCCUACACCUGUCUUCAUCUUUUAUUUUUCUAAAAAUUUGAACUAUAUACAUGUUUGUGUGUGUAUAUUUGUUUACACACUCACAUAUGUUGCAGUCAUGGUAUGUGACAUAUACAAGUAUACAGAGCAAGCCCUGUCUAUCUUUUGGUUUCUUUAGUUUUAUCCAUGAACUACUAAGGCCAUGCUGGAGCACUGCCUUUAAAACUGCCUCUCUUUUCAUGUAUGUGCGUGUGUUUGUGUUUACAUCUAUGUCUGUCUCUUUCACAUUCUCAUAUAUAUAUAUAUAUAUAUAUAUAUAUAAAUACAAGAAUGAUAAUAUUUCUAAAAAUUAUUUUGUUGGUGGCCACGAGCGUACAGCCGUAUAGGCAAAUUAAUAAAAUAUAUAUAACACACAUAUAUAUAUAUAUAAAUUGUAUGUAUAUAUUAGGGUACUAUAUAAGCAACUGCUUUGCAAAAUAUAGAAGUCAAAAUACUUCUAAGCCACAGAACAAUCACAAAAUACACGAAUGAUAGGAAAGAAUUCUAAUGAACAAGAAUAACAUUCUACCUCUGCCAAGGAUACAAGAGGAAUGUUGAUUAAUUUGAUGUCAUGUUUUUGAAUUUAGAGCCAAAUAUGUCUGAAUCUCCUCACUCAGAUCUGCUGCCAUGGAUGGCUACGAGAAUUUGCCUCUUGCUUGAAACAAAUGAAUUGUGUGAAAUUAUUUAUAAAUAAAUAUAAGAACAACAAUAUUUCUAAAAAUAAUAUCGUUAGUGGCCACAAGCAUACAGCCAUGUAGGCAAAUUAUUAAUUUAUUAAAUUAUCAAUAUAAAUAUUAUCAUUCUUAUAUUUAUUUAUAAAAAAUUUCACGGUAUUUGACCAUUCAAAUGCAUUUACGUGCAUAGUAGGGUAAAAUUCUUGUAGCCGUCCCUGGCAGAUUAGACAGGAGAUUCAGGCACCUUUGGUGCUAAAUUCGAAAUCAUGACAUCAAAUUACACAGGAUUCCUCUUGCAGAGGUAGGACGCUGUUCUUGUUCACUGGAAUUUUUUCCUAUCAUGCCUGUAUUAAUUUUGUGAUUCUUCUGUGACUUAAAAGUAUUUUGACUUCUAUUUUUAGUGAAGCAGGUGCUUACAUAGUACCCUAGUAUAUAUAUUGGUUAGUUCUUCACUCUCUCUCUCUCCUUUGUCUUCUUUCUCUCUUCCCUCUAUUUAUUUAUCCCUCCCCAUCGUCUCCAUCAAAUCUGUUGAGGACAUGACCCCUUCAGCCCUUUCCAUGAUAUUCAGUGCACCUUAUCAUCACGUUAUUGUUUAUGUCUGCAAAACAACCAACAUUAGAACAUUAUUAUUAUUAACAUCAUUAUUAUUAAUACUUUUCUGGUUUAAAAUAAAGUUGAAUUAGUUAAA